rnacentral:miRNA from 1 species
CUCUCCCUCCCAGACCCUCCCACCUCCUGGACAGCAUCCAUUUUGAAGCUGCAUUCUUAGUGAGCUGUCCAGGAGGUGGGAGGGUCUGGGAGGGAGGG